CAGAAAAUAGUUUAAUUGUAGAAUAUUAGUUUUGGAGAUUAAAGAUAGGAGGUUUUCUUUUUCUGA
rnacentral:tRNA from 1 species